CCUCCUUCUCCUUGUUCUUUUUUUUGUGGUGCCAGAGGCUGAACCCCGUGCCCUCAUAUUGAACUAUAUUUCCCAAUCCUUUUCUUUUUUAUUUUGGGACAGGGUCUUAGUAAAUCACUGUCUUCCUCAGACUGGGUUUGGACUUGCCUUGGUCUCCCAGAUUAUUGGGACGACAGGUGUGCACCACCACACUGGCGACUGCUUCAUCCUUAGAAUCACCAUAGCAUCCCCGUGAGGCCUUCUCUUUCAGUUAAAGUUUCUGCCACCCCUGCCCUCUGCUGGCCUCCAGGGCCUCGCACCCGGAGACUUCCUGUGGAGCCUUGGGCAGCAGUGUUUCCUGAUCUUUCUCUUCUCCAGCACUUCUUAAUUCUUGCUUCACAUUCCUUGCUGCAGGCUACACUUGCAGUCCUCCACGCGUUGACACAAGCGAUCAUUUUCUUGGCAUCGGUACUGUUUCAGUGAAUUUCCACCAGGAUAUUUUUACGGUAUCUGAAGGAAAAAUGACGGUUCAACCUUGGGAAGAAAAGUCGGCUGAUAAUUUCACAGCAGGAGGCUGGAGGAGGAGCCUCUCUAAGACAGCAGAACAGUGGCUGUGGAUCUGCUGGUUCUGAUUCGUUCAAAAUUAACAGACGCCGGAGGCACUGACCAUGAAAUGGGACAUCUGGCUUCAUCCCUGACCUCGAACACCCCCUUCCUGUGCACUAGAAUAGACAGCUGGAUGAAUCUGAAGGGUCAGCAGAGGCCAGUGGACUUUGGAAAUUAUGGAUCUUUAGGUCAUCUGUUGUAUGCAUCCACUCUGACAAACACUGCUUCUAACAACCUUGCCAAGUUGGUAAAUUUAAGUAAAUAUUUCUCUUGCCUUCCUGUACCAAGAAGUAAAGAGUUAACUAAAUUUCUCAAGGUUAUGGUUCAUCUGGGUAUCAAAAAAUGUUUAGGGUUUUGAAUCUUUCUAUUUGACCACAUUACUUUCCGUCAGGGGAUUUUACAUUGACUUUUUCAAGUGCCAAACGCUUCUUUAAAAAAGUGCAGGUUGGACUUGUGAACUAAGGAAAAUCAUUUGCAGGGACAGAUUUUCAAAUUCCUAUCAAUAGGGCAAAUCACCUUAAAGUGGCAUAAAACAUCUCAAAAGCGUUUCAAAGUCACAUCACAAGGCUCUGUGAAUCUUCAGAGCUUCAAACAAUUUUCACACAAAGAACAUACUUUUGAAGGUUAAGGAAAGGAG
rnacentral:lncRNA from 1 species